AUUGAACGCUGGCGGCAGGACUAACACAUGCAAGUCGAACGAGUGGCGGAAGGGUGAGUAAUGACUGGGAAACUGCCUGAUGGAGGGGGAGAACUACUGGGAACGGUAGCUAAUACCGCAUACCAUCGGAUGUUCCCAGAUGGGAUUAGCUAGUAGGUGGGGUAAAGGCUCACGUAGGAGGCGAUCCCUAGCUGGUCGGAGAGGAUGAGCAGCCACACUGGAACUGUGACACGGUCCAGACGCCUACGUGAGGCAGCAGUGGGGAAUAUUGCACAAUGGGCGCAAGCCUGAUGCAGCCAUGCCGCGUGUAUGAAGAAGGCCUUCGGGUUGUAAAGUACUUUCAGCGGGGAGGCGUUACCCGCAGAAGAAGCACCGGCUAACUCCGUGCCAGCCGCCGCGGUAAUUC
rnacentral:rRNA from 1 species